GAUGAACGCUGGCGGCGUGCCUAAUACAUGCAAGUCGAGCGAACGGACGAGAAGCUUGCUUCUCUGAUGUUAGCGGCGGACGGGUGAGUAACACGUGGAUAACCUACCUAUAAGACUGGGAUAACUUCGGGAAACCGGAGCUAAUACCGGAUAAUAUUUUGAACCGCAUGGUUCAAAAGUGAAAGACGGUCUUGCUGUCACUUAUAGAUGGAUCCGCGCUGCAUUAGCUAGUUGGUAAGGUAACGGCUUACCAAGGCAACGAUGCAUAGCCGACCUGAGAGGGUGAUCGGCCACACUGGAACUGAGACACGGUCCAGACUCCUACGGGAGGCAGCAGUAGGGAAUCUUCCGCAAUGGGCGAAAGCCUGACGGAGCAACGCCGCGUGAGUGAUGAAGGUCUUCGGAUCGUAAAACUCUGUUAUUAGGGAAGAACAUAUGUGUAAGUAACUGUGCACAUCUUGACGGUACCUAAUCAGAAAGCCACGGCUAACUACGUGCCAGCAGCCGCGGUAAUACGUAGGUGGCAAGCGUUAUCCGGAAUUAUUGGGCGUAAAGCGCGCGUAGGCGGUUUUUUAAGUCUGAUGUGAAAGCCACGGCUCAACCGUGGAGGGUCAUUGGAAACUGGAAAACUUGAGUGCAGAAGAGGAAAGUGGAAUUCCAUGUGUAGCGGUGAAAUGCGCAGAGAUAUGGAGGAACACCAGUGGCGAAGGCGACUUUCUGGUCUGUAACUGACGCUGAUGUGCGAAAGCGUGGGGAUCGAACAGGAUUAGAUACCCUGGUAGUCCACGCCGUAAACGAUGAGUGCUAAGUGUUAGGGGGUUUCCGCCCCUUAGUGCUGCAGCUAACGCAUUAAGCACUCCGCCUGGGGAGUACGACCGCAAGGUUGAAACUCAAAGGAAUUGACGGGGACCCGCACAAGCGGUGGAGCAUGUGGUUUAAUUCGAAGCAACGCGAAGAACCUUACCAAAUCUUGACAUCCUUUGACAACUCUAGAGAUAGAGCCUUCCCCUUCGGGGGACAAAGUGACAGGUGGUGCAUGGUUGUCGUCAGCUCGUGUCGUGAGAUGUUGGGUUAAGUCCCGCAACGAGCGCAACCCUUAAGCUUAGUUGCCAUCAUUAAGUUGGGCACUCUAAGUUGACUGCCGGUGACAAACCGGAGGAAGGUGGGGAUGACGUCAAAUCAUCAUGCCCCUUAUGAUUUGGGCUACACACGUGCUACAAUGGACAAUACAAAGGGCAGCGAAACCGCGAGGUCAAGCAAAUCCCAUAAAGUUGUUCUCAGUUCGGAUUGUAGUCUGCAACUCGACUACAUGAAGCUGGAAUCGCUAGUAAUCGUAGAUCAGCAUGCUACGGUGAAUACGUUCCCGGGUCU
rnacentral:rRNA from 1 species